rnacentral:rRNA from 1 species
AUUGAACGCUGGCGGCAGGCCUAACACAUGCAAGUCGAGCGGAUGCAGGGAGCUUGCUCCUGGAUUCCGCGGCGCACGGGUGAGUAAUGCCCAUGAAUCUCCCUGCCUGUGGGGGAUAACGUCCGGAAACGGGCGCUAAUACCGCAUACGUCCUGUGCGAGAAAGUGGGUGAUCUUCGGACCUCACGCUAUCAGAUGAGCCUAGGUCGGAUUAGCUAGUUGGUGGGGUAAAGGCCUACCAAGCCGACGAUCCGUAACUGGUCUGAGAGGAUGAGCAGUCACACUGGAACUGAGACACGGUCCAGACUCCGACGGGAGGCAGCAGUGGGGAAUAUUAGAAAUGGGGCGAAAGCGUGAUCCAGCCAUGCCGCGUGUGUGAAGAAGGUCUCCGGAUUGUAAAGCAUAUUAAGUUGUGAGGAAGGGCAGUAAGUUAAUACCUGGCUGUUUUGACGUUACCAACAGAAUAAGCACCGGCUAACUUCGUG